UUUACAACAGUAUCUAGGGAAUAAGCAUCGGCUAACUCUGUGCCAGCAGCCGCGGUAAUACAGAGGAUGCAAGCAUUAUCCGAAAUGAUUG